GCAAGGACCUGAGGUUUGGAUCCAGACAGAGGUGGGGUCAGGACCCAGGUGCCACUUAGCGCUGCGGUGACUCUGGGCAGCGUCCUCACCUGCCCGUAGGGGCGCCGUCCCCCGGAUUUGGUGGCAGUGCCCCAUCAAGGGGACAGUGUUACAGGACUGCUGGGUUCCCGUGGUACCGACGCCGGCGGCUCACAGACCCGCGUCCGGUGCCCCCCGCCCCCCCAGAGCUCCACCUUCCUCCGAGCACGCACCGCGGCGGCAGAGGGAAGGAGAAGCCGGCCCUGGAGGUCCUCGGCCUGUGGAAGGCCGUUGAUGGGCUCCCCGAUCCCCACUCUCAGCGGGUCCCCAGGAGGGGUCCGAGGGAGACCUUGGCCAAACCAGAGACGGCAGCCUGGCGCUUUUCCAGGAAUGACCCCGUGCCCAGAGUCUGAUCAGCCCUAAUAGCACCCCCGGGCCUUUGCUGCAACGCCCACCCUCACCUCAAGCCCUCACUUGGACCCUGUGGGUCACCUCCAGCUCUGACCUGUGUCCGAAGUGAGAUCUUUAUUUCCAGCCUUUAACUCCUGCGGACCCGGUGCUCAUCUGCACUCACGCUCAGGCGUAUCCCUCGAAGCCCGUUCUGAACCCCACUUUCCUCAGAACACGGGCUCCGUUUCUCCCUGUGACCUUUGCCCCAGCGGUUGCCUCAGCCCGGACUGUUCUGUCCAGAGCUUUGCGUGGCCACAUCCUUAGCCUCACGCAGAAACGGUUUUAGCCACAGCUCCCCCACCGUGGAGCCUGCCCCUGACCUUGUAUCUGACGUGAACCCGCUUUCACCUCCAUUUCUGUCACCUCCUCUUAUUUUCAUAGUAAUAUGUGCCAGUCUGUGCCUCGUCUUUGCACACUUAUCUGCUGGUUCUCUGUCAUCUCCCGAUACAAUCUAGGCUCAACCCCCCUUCCACUGCCUUCCUCCAGCUGGGCCUUCACCCCAGUUCCUUCAACCCUGGCCCUGGUUUUGGAAACGAACACCAUGCGUUUGCCCCUCUGACACCCUGCCCGCGUUGGAGCUGACACGCCUCCUCAAUCCUCCAAGCCCCACGCCCGCCGUCGCUGCCCCCGGCGCUCGGCAACACCCGCUACCACCAAGUGCCAUCUUAAAUGCGGAGGGAA